GAUGAACGCUGGCGGCGUGCUUAACACAUGCAAGUCGAACGGAAAGGCUCCUGCUUUCAGCGGUACUCGAUUGGCGAACGGGUGAGUAACACGUGGGGGAUCUGCCCUGCACUUCGGGAUAAGCCUGGGAAACUGGGUCUAAUAUCGGAUAGGAUGAUGUUUUCGAUGCCAUUCAGGAAAGUUUUUUCGGUAUGGGGUGAGCUCUCGGCCUAUCAGCUUGGUGGUGGCUUAAUGGCAAACCAAGGCAUAGACGGGUAGCCGACAUGGGAAGGUGUACGGCGUCAAUAGGCCUGCGGUACGGAGCAGAGUGGUAUGGGCGGCAGUAGUGGGGAACAUUGCACAGUGGGGGCGAGCCUGAUAUGAAGGCGCUGCGUGGGGAAUGCCCGCCUUCGGGUUGUAAACUCCUUUCGCUAGAGACGAAGCGGAAGUGACGGUACCUGGAGAAGAAGCACCGGCUAACUACGUG
rnacentral:rRNA from 1 species